rnacentral:rRNA from 1 species
GACGAACCGUGCGAACGUUGUUCGGAAUCACUUGGGCUGAAAGGGCGCGUAGGCGGACUUGCAAGUCGGCGGUGAAAUCCCCCAGCUCAACUGGGGAAGUGUCCCCGAUACUGCUCGUCUGGAGGAAGGUAGGGGCACGUGGAACUUCCGGUGGAGCGGUGAAAUGCGUAGAGAUCGUAAGGAACACCGGUGGCGAAGGCGACGUGCUGGACCUUUUCUGACGCUGAGGCGCGAAAGCCAGGGUAGCGAACGGG